rnacentral:rRNA from 1 species
AGCGAACGCUGGCGGCAGGCUUAACACAUGCAAGUCGAGCGGGCAUCCUUGUGGUGUCAGCGGCAGACGGGUGAGUAACGCGUGGGAACGUGCCCUUCGGUUCGGAAUAACUCAGGGAAACUUGAGCUAAUACCGGAUACGUGCGAGAGCAGAAAGGUUUAUCUGCCGAAGGAUCGGCCCGCGUCUGAUUAGCUAGUUGGUGAGGUUACGGCUCACCAAGGCGACGAUCAGUAGCUGGUCUGAGAGGAUGAUCAGCCACACUGGGACUGAGACACGGCCCAGACUCCUACGGGAAGCAGCAGUUGGGAAUAUUGGACAAUGGGGGCAACCCUGAUCCAGCCAUGCCGCGUGAGUGAUGACGGCCUUAGGGUUGUAAAGCUCUUUUCUCCGGGACGAUAAUGACGGUACCGGAGGAAUAAGCCCCGGCUAACUUCGUG